rnacentral:rRNA from 1 species
AGUGAACGCUGGCGGUAGGCCUAACACAUGCAAGUCGAACCCCCCCCCAGUAAGAGCUUGCUCUUACGGGUGGCGAGUGGCGGACGGGUGAGGAAUACAUCGGAAUCUACUUUUUCGUGGGGGAUAACGUAGGGAAACUUACGCUAAUACCGCAUACGACCUACGGGUGAAAGCAGGGGAUCUUCGGACCUUGCGCGAUUGAAUGAGCCGAUGUCGGAUUAGCUAGUUGGCGGGGUAAAGGCCCACCAAGGCGACGAUCCGUAGCUGGUCUGAGAGGAUGAUCAGCCACACUGGAACUGAGACACGGUCCAGACUCCUACGGGAGGCAGCAGUGGGGAAUAUUGGACAAAGGGCGCAAGCCUGAUCCAGCCAUACCGCGUGGGUGAAGAAGGCCUUCGGGUUGUAAAGCCCUUUUGUUGGGAAAGAAAAGCAGCAGGUUAAUACCCCGCUGUUCUGACGGUACCCAAAGAAUAAGCACCGGCUAACUUCGUG